rnacentral:pre_miRNA from 1 species
CCCACUGAGCCAUCUCACCAGCCCUCUACAGUUCCAUUUUUAAAAAUGCACAGAUGUGGGCUGGUGAGAUGGCUCAGUGGU